rnacentral:rRNA from 1 species
ACGUCUGUUCUCAGUAGUUGUCCUGGCUCAGGAUGAACGCUAGCUACAGGCUUAACACAUGCAAGUCGAGGGGCAGCAUGAAUAUUGGCUUGCCAAUAUUUGAUGGCGACCGGCGCACGGGUGAGUAACACGUAUCCAACCUUCCGGUUACUCGGGGAUAGGCUUUCGAAAGAAAGAUUAAUACCCGAUGUUGCGUAUCUUUCUCCUGAAAGAUACGCCAAAGGAUUCCGGUAACCGAUGGGGAUGCGUUCCAUUAGGCAGUUGGCGGGGUAACGGCCCACCAAACCUUCGAUGGAUAGGGGUUCUGAGAGGAAGGUCCCCCACAUUGGAACUGAGACACGGUCCAA